GCCGCGGUAAGACAUAAGGGGCAAGUGUUAUCCGGAAUUAUUGGGCGUAAAGGGUGCGUAGGCGGUCUAGUAAGUCAGUGGUGUAAUGGCAACGCU
rnacentral:rRNA from 1 species